UACGUAGGGUGCAAGCGUUGUCCGGAAUUAUUGGGCGUAAAGAGCUUGUAGGCGGUUUGUCGCGUCUGCUGUGAAAUUUCGGGGCUCAACCCCGAACUUGCAGGUGGGUACGGGCAGACUAGAGUGUGGUAGGGGAGACUGGAAUUCCUGGUGUAGCGGUGAAAUGCGCAGAUAUCAGGAGGAACACCGAUGGCGAAGGCAGGUCUCUGGGCCAUAACUGACGCUGAGAAGCGAAAGCAUGGGGAGCGAACAGG
rnacentral:rRNA from 1 species